rnacentral:rRNA from 1 species
CCUACGGGUGGCAGCAGUCGAGGAUUUUUCUCAAUGGGGGAAACCCUGAAGGAGCGACGCCGCGUGGGGGAUGAAGGUCUUCGGAUUGUAAACCCCUGUCAUCCGGGAACAAUGUUUUCCACCCAACACGUGGAGAAUUGAUAGUACCGGAAGAGGAAGCCGUGGCUAACUCUGUGCCAGCAGCCGCGGUAAUACAGAGACGGCAAGCGUUGUUCGGAUUCAUUGGGCGUAAAGGGUCCGUAGGCGGUCGGCUAAGUCGGAUGUGAAAUUUCACAGCCCAACUGUGAGCGGUCAUUCGAAACUAGUCGGCUAGAGGGCUGGAGAGGAGACUGGAAUUGUCGGUGUAGCGGUGAAAUGCGUAGAGAUCGACAAGAACACCGGUGGCGAAGGCGGGUCUCUGGACAGUUCCUGACGCUGAGGGACGAAAGCUAGGGGAGCAA